rnacentral:lncRNA from 1 species
UGUUAGCAAAUUUCACGGCUCCGCUUUAGUCGCGUCUUUAAAUAAAUUUACCUUCCUAAAUACGAGUGUGCAUUUCAUGUAACCUAAAUUCAAAUCCCAAAACGUUGGAUAAAAAUGUGUUUCGAAUCCCGGUGUAUUUCAUGCGAUGCGAUCCAAAGACAUGUUUUAAACGACGUUCACAUUCCCAAAAAUUUAAUUAAAAGUAGUAAACAAUUGAAAAUUGCACCAUAGGAUGAACAUGUAUAAAAAUCAGAUUUUUAGUCACUUAUAAUAGUUUAAGCGACCAUGCUAGAACCAUGGGAUCCGAGAGUGCCUAACACCUUCCCUCAGGUCAACAAAUGAGGGUCAUCAGAGCAGCAGUAGAACUUAAUACCAACAACAACACAACCCAGAUUCAUCGAUCGAAACACUGAAAACCUGCUUGAGAAUUCAAUGGAAUAGUGGUCCUUAACAAUUUGAAACAAAAAACUCCUCCCAAAUUCAAUAUCACUCCAUAUGAACUCUCAGAAUAUACUAGAAAACGUGUCCAGACAUGAAAACUUCAGAAAUCGACUAAGAAAAGAGAAAAAGAUUCAAUGGAAUAGUAAAAAAUUCUCAUUAUUUUCCUUUUCUAAAAUUUUCAGCUCCUUUUUUCUGCCUUGAAAGGCAAGUAAAGGUGCAUUUAUAGGAAAGUGAAUACUGCAACGAACAAAUUUCAGCUUUUAAUUUUAUCCCUCUUUAAUAUUGCUUUUUUGCUUAGAAAUCUUUAGGUAAAAAUCUGAAAAUCAAGUUAAAUCCCCCACCCAGCUUCCUAGAAGCUUCCCAAUCAGUUACCAAAAGAUUCCCAACCCCAAAAUUCCCAAACUACCCCACAACCCCUGAAUUUACCCUUAGCCUUAUACCUGGGUCAGGCAUAUGGGUCAAGUUGACCUAUAUAAUGGAUCUGAAGUAUGAGUUAAAUUCCUACCUGGGCUGAUCACUUCCCAUUUGGACCUAAUUCAAUUCAAGAAUUCGAACAACAGGGUUUAGGGCAGAAAAAUUGAGGAACAAUGGAAUCAAAUAUAAUUUUGGGCCAAAUGUCCUCCUUGACCCAAAACAAAAGGAAAACAAUCAACAGAAACAAAGACUAAACCCAUGACUAUGAGCAAUCUACAGAAAACAGUAAUUAAUCAAUUAAAAUGAAUCCAAAGAAACACAUGCAAAUGAUGAUUAUUUGCGGUCGAGGAUAAUAAUAAGAACAUAAAAGGGGAAUCCGAGGAUACCUAUCGAAAAAUGGGCAGACAAACAUCUCGAACUAAGACUUCAAUGAAUACUUGCGGCCGAGACGCACCAUAAUCGUGUUUUCUUGACUGAGGACUCACUGCUAAAAUCGAUUUCGUCCUCAAAUUCUUAAAACUUUGCUGAUUCAGGCUUUCUUUGAUUCAUAUUCUUAACACUCGAACAACUUGGAAGAGAUUUGAAGCAGACGGAAUGGGGUUCAGAAUGAAGGAGGCUUGGGAUUAUUUGGUGUAACUUUUGUGAGAAUUUGGGGUUGGAUGCCGGCAACAAUGAGGUUAAACCAAGAGAGGCAUUCUCUGAGAGAGGGAGAUGAAAGAGGUGAAAAAGAUACUAGGUUUAGUUGUAAAGGAUUCGGACAUAUUAAUUGUAAAUGGGAGAUAGCAUUUGGGCCGUUGGAUACUGGGAGAUGAAAGGUCCAGAUUGAUUGAUCUUGGUGUAACUGGGAACUGCAUCGUUUGAUUGGGAAGGGGAUGGAC